rnacentral:lncRNA from 1 species
CAGCUUCAAGCUUUUUUUGUUUAUUGUAUUUAUUUAUUUAUUUAUUUAUUAUUCUUUUUUUUUUUCCAGUUUACAUUUUGUUAUAUAAAAGACAUCUUAGUCACCAACCCCAGUGCUGAGUUUUAACGAACCACCAUCUAAGGAUGUUACAGCGUGUGCUCAGACAAGAUAAUCCAGCAAGUUUGCAGGCCAAAUGGCUCUCUGAAUAUGAGCCCACAAAGUGCUGAAUGAGACAGCAUGCUGCUCUGGGAGAUUCCAGCACAGCUAGCCAGAAGGGCCUGGCUGGAAAUUUUGGAAGGGAAUGCAUCUGCCAAGACAACUUCUGCCAAAGCAACUCUUCCCACUCUUUUGGCCAAGAUUGCAUGGACCUUCAAGACCUUGAAGUGUUGUACCUCUGUUGUCAGAGCAAUUCCACGAGUCCAAGAUAAGGAAUAAGAGCUAAAGUCUUAAUCCAAUAUUAGCCUACAGAAAUGCUACAAAUUCUAAUAUAUACAUCUAUUUCUGGUAUAUCUAGCUUGACAGAAAUCUCUCAGAAUACUUGUUAUAAAUUCCUUGAGGGGAUAUACUUCUAAUAUUGAUAGAAGUACUCACUAGUGUCCAUUGUACAAUGCAUCUCUAAGUAGUCUUUAAGUGGCUUAUAUAAAUACUUGAUUAAGCUAUGCUUCUCCUUAAUAAUCACUCUUGUGAGCACAGACUGUGAUGGCGUUUUAUCUGUUGAAUUAUAAUUAAGACUUACUUUGAAAUAAUUGCUUGUAUCUCCACUUAUCUAGGUGCUAUAUCUUGCUGAUAUGAAGCUGGUGUUUCUGUAUUACCAUGCGAAAGGCUGCUUUCAGACCUAAGGACAUAGGUGUAAAUCAAAAAAUUGACACAUAGUUAUCAGAGGUAAGAAUUCAAAAUUUACUUAAGAAAUCAUAGAAAAGCUUAGGUUGAAAAGAACUCCUAGAGGUCAUCUAAUCUACCCACAGUGUAAGGAAUUAUCAAUGAAAAUAUACAAUAUUCUCUGCACUGAGUAAAGAAAAAAGGUUUUUUUUUUUUUUUUUCUUCUAUAACUAGAACUGGAUUUGUCUAUCCAGAUGGUCAGAAGGUCAAAAUGUUUUGAUAGGCAUUUGAGCUUUUUAAUAAAUACAUUUGUGACUCUUGCA